GGAGGAGUUGUGGCUGCUGCCUGGGGUAUAAAGGCGCAGUGUUGCCGGGAGAGGCUCAUUCAGCUCUCGGGCUUCAGCGGGUUGAGUUCUCUGUGCUGUGCUUUGUGUUUUGUAGCUUUGGAGUCUUGCGGCGUUUUGUGCUGUUGUGCUGGGAUGUUUGCCGUAAUGGAAUCAGCUGAGUGCGGAGCAUCAGGACCUCUCAAGGCUUCCCAGCAGCUCCCACCCGUAAGCACCAAAGAGUCCUCCUCAGCCUCGGGUCUGAGUCAGCUCCCCGGGCAUGGGGCAUUCUGUGCUGCAGGGAACAGAGCGUGCGGGCGACACGGGUCCUGCAUGGACACCUCGUUGCUGCUCUCGUCUGCGUGCGAUCAUCCAGGGUGAGACCAGGGGACAUACUAGGAAGACUGCUUGGGAUGCCUUCCGUCUUCUCCCUGCGUACCAGGAACUCUGUCAUCUGACGCUCCUCCAGAUGGACCUCCUUUCCAGCUGAACUCAAUCACCACUGCACUGAUUUCAGGCCUUGUCCACCUAGGAGUCACAAACGUUUUCUUUUUCGUAUGUUCCUUAACUCUUCUGUGCAGAAAGUGGCAUGACAGUUCAGUCUUGAGUGGCAUCUGAAAUGCAGGUUUCAGCUGAAACCGGUGAUUUACUUGCACUUUUUCUGUGGGGCUGUCUUUCUUGUCCAUGAAAUAUGAUUCCAUUAAAAAAUGUUGACACAAUGUUCCAGCUGUAUCCAGCUUCUAUACCAGCUGUUCUGUAUUUUUAUUUUGCUAGAUUAUGUUGUGUAGGUAAAGCAGCAGUGGUAUUGGUAACAUUCAGAAAUGCUCAUAAGUUCAUACACACGUAGUAAGAUAAGGAUCUCGUCUAUUUUGUCAUGGCAUUUUUCACAUGUUUGCUUCUCAGAAGGACUUUGUUUUAUUCUAUCUUGGUUAAAAAUAAAAACAAACCAAAACUUG